CUACGGGCGGCAGCAGUGGGGAAUAUUGGACAAUGGGGGGAACCCUGAUCCAGCCAUGCCGCGUGUGUGAAGAAGGCCCUCGGGUUGUAAAGCACUUUCAGUGAGGAAGAACGCCUGGUGGUUAAUACCCAUCAGGAAAGACAUCACUCACAGAAGAAGCACCGGCUAACUCCGUGCCAGCAGCCGCGGUAAUACGGAGGGUGCGAGCGUUAAUCGGAAUUACUGGGCGUAAAGCGCGCGUAGGUGGCUUGAUAAGCCGGUUGUGAAAGCCCCGGGCUCAACCUGGGAACGGCAUCCGGAACUGUCAAGCUAGAGUGCAGGAGAGGAAGGUAGAAUUCCCGGUGUAGCGGUGAAAUGCGUAGAGAUCGGGAGGAAUACCAGUGGCGAAGGCGGCCUUCUGGACUGACACUGACACUGAGGUGCGAAAGCGUGGGUAGCAAACAGGAUUAGAUACCCGAGGAGUC
rnacentral:rRNA from 1 species